GUCUGAUUUAAAUGAAACCAAACGAUCUAUAUUUUCUAGAGUCUGUGGUCUAAUCAAACUAUUUGAGGGAUAUAAAUUAUUCGCGUUUUGGGUCUAAUGUGUUAAUUUUUUGAUUCAAUACGUUACAGUGUAGGUCGUGAUUUAUUAAUUUUGGUAGCCCAUGUGGUUUUAGAAGAUGAAGAGUAUUAGAGAUCCGUUGCGUAGUCUUCCUGGUAGAAGUCAAAAAUGAUGCACUGGAGCGCCGUGGCCCCGAAGUUGGCUCGCGGCGGCGGGAUCGUCUGGGUGUCGACCGACUACACACAACACACAUAUUACUAGCUAUUCCAAAGUAUUUGUGGGCAAGCAUGCAAGGCGACCGCGCGUCUCUAUGCUCCCGACAUUGAAGUACAUUCGGGAAGAAAGUUUAACAAAAUCAAAGGACUGUUUAGUGUGUGUUUUGUUCUAGUUAGUAGCUGUUAUGAAGAUUGUAAAAUAACGUGUGUUCAACCUAGUGGGCAGAGCACCGGUGCAAGCUGGCGGCUGAAGGUGACCGCGGCGGCGGGUUGCUGAUCCCUGCCAGAGAGCCUGAUGACAGCGGCAUUGAUAGCGACGACGCCGUGAGGAGGCUCAUCCUCGCUCAUCAGAGACUACCGUUCAGUGACGAGAGUAGCAGUGAUGAUGAGCUACAGAUCCCUUCACCUACCACGAACAGACACCGAAACGAAGGACGAGCUAGUCUGAAAACCGAAGAAGACCACGACCUAGUCAUCAUGCAGUGGCCUCAAGACCAGUUCACCAAAGACCAAAGCGUUACCAGGGAGACCAGCCCCGACCGGUCCUCCCCUCCGCUCUACGAAGUGGAACUCACAGCUUCAGACGAAGAUGACGACGCGUCAGUCUUAGAGCUCGUCAUACCAAUGCACUCGUCAAGGUACCAGAGGGUCCCGACUUCUUCGCCAAAGAAAUCUAAGCCAAAAGUAGUGAAAAGGUAUUUUUGCAGCAUGAUCUGUUGUGGUCGUAAGUAAGUCUUUUGAUCUUGAUGUUAAUAAAAACUUUUUUGUCUAUGAUGUAAGAUGAAGUUUGGUUAAGAGUUCGAUUUUCAUCUUGUUGUUAUUGUAUGUGAUUGGUGAGGAGUAUUUUUUUAUGAACUGCAUAUAAAAUAUAUUUUAGCGUCUGUACUUUUUAAGUUAAAGACGAAUUAUUCUGGAAACUUGCCCAAUUAUUGGAUGAACCAUGAAUCCUAUAGGUACUCAUGGUUCAUCCAAUGGUCGGUGGUUCUCUUUUGGGCCAAUGGCCUGAAAAAGUUUUUACCUAUUCCCAUUUAGAUUUCAUGAUAAUGGUAAAGAUUUAAUUAUGGAUGUUCAAGAACCAGUUUCCUUGCAUCAACUUCAUGAAAACACAUGUAAACAAUACUCCUCAUCGGUUGAUUACUAGGUAAUAAUAACCAAUUAAUAUAAUAUUUUGUAUUUAAAUUAUUUUUUACACAAAUAUUGCCUAAUUAUUUUAAGUAAGUGUUACUCUUAUGUAGGUCACAAAAAUCUUCAAAAAGUCAGGCCUGGAUUUUAUGUGUAUUUUACCAUCGCUUGACGAAAUAAUAAGAUGGCCUCAAGUUUUUAUGUACAAAGUGUUGGAAGAAAGGUGGUCAACCAGCUACAUCCAAAAUUAAUAAAAAUAUUUGAAACCCUGAUAUUUUAAAGAAAUAUUUGGACUGACAAGAUACUUGUAUAAUUGCCAAAAAUGUAUGGAAACGUAGGAAAUAGAUAUAAAAAAUAAACAGUGCCAUUAAGAACAUGAAAAAACGUGAAAAAUAAAUAACUUUGUCAAUUUGAUAAGUUUAUUAUUGAAUAAAAGAUUGAUUGAGUGAGAAUAUUUUGGUCAAUUAAAUGUUCGAGUAGUAAAAAAUAUAUUUUGAUCACAAAAAUGUAAAAAUGCACAAUGUUGUAUUAGUUUUAGUUCCUUUUCUAAACUAAGUAUAUUAUUAUUAACUAGUUAAUAUUUAUGAUUAACAUAAGCCUAAUUUUGCCGAAUUGAAAACCCAUUUAAAAUGGUACUGAAAUGUUUUAUUUUUAAGUUUAAACACGACGAAAAAUUUAUGAUUAUAAACAUCAAUAAAGUUUAUGAGCAGUAA
rnacentral:lncRNA from 1 species